rnacentral:lncRNA from 1 species
UGCGGGAACCUUGAAGAAAGUUGUUCUGUCUAAUGGUGCAGUGGUAACAGUGAACUCCAGCAUCUUUGGUAAUACGUAGGUGAUAGUACCUUUUUUCUACACGCGGGUGACAGUGGAGAUGAAAGGAGACUCACACCUGAAAAACCUAGUUGAGAAGCUGAAAGCUGCUGGUGUCCAACACAAGCUGUGCAAGUGAGAACGUCCG